rnacentral:rRNA from 1 species
AAUAAGCUAUAUAAGAGCGUACGGUGGAUGCCUAGGCUCUCAGAGGCGAUGAAGGACGUGAUAAGCUGCGAUAAGCUACGGGGAUUGGCACACACAAUUUGAUCCGUAGAUUUCCGAAUGGGGAAACCCACUAUAUUGAAGAUAUAGUAUCCGUUAAGGAAGCAAACCCAGGGAACUGAAACAUCUAAGUACCUGGAGGAAUAGAAAACAAAAGUGAUUCCGCUAGUAGUGGCGAGCGAACGCGGAAUAGCCCAAACCAAAAUUGUUUCGGCAAUUUUGGGGUUGUAGGACCACGAUAUUGAAUGUUUAAUGAAUUAGAAUUCUUUGGAAAAAGAAACCAUAGAGGGUGAUAGUCCCGUAUAA